rnacentral:tRNA from 1 species
UCUCUGGUAGCUAAACUGGUUGUAGCGGCGGUCUUAUAAACCGUGUCUUUAUGUGAGUUCAAGUCUCAUCCAGAGAACCA